GCAUAACGCGAAGAACCUUACCUGGCCUUGACAUUGAUAGAAUCUGCUAGAGAUAGCGGAGUGCCCUUCGGGGAGCUUGAGAACAGGUGCUGCACGGCUGUCGUCAGCUCGUGUCGUGAGAUGUUGGGUUAAGUCCCGCAACGAGCGCAACCCUCGUCACUAGUUACUAACGGUUCGGCCGAGGACUCUAGUGAGACUGCCUUCGUAAGGAGGAGGAAGGUGAGGACGACGUCAAGUCAUCAUGGCCCUUACGGCCAGGGCGACACACGUGCUACAAUGGGAUGUACAAUGAGACGCAAUACCGCGAGGUGGAGCAAAUCUAUAAAACAUCUCUCAGUUCGGAUUGUAGUCUGCAACUCGACUACAUGAAGCUGGAAUCACUAGUAAUCGUAGAUCAGCCAUGCUACGGUGAAUACGUUCCCGGGUCUUGUACACACCG
rnacentral:rRNA from 1 species